UACGUAGGUGGCAAGCGUUGUCCGGAUUUAUUGGGUUUAAAGGGCGCGCAGGCGGCCAUUCAAGUCAGGCGUGAAAGCCCCGGGCUUAACCUGGGAGGUGCGCUUGGGACUGGGUGGCUAGAGAUCGGGAGAGGAGAGUGGAAUUCCCAGUGUAGAGGUGAAAUUCGUAGAUAUUGGGAAGAACACCGGUGGCGAAGGCGGCUCACUGGCUCGGUACUGACGCUGAGGUGCGAAAGCGUGGGGAGCAAACAGG
rnacentral:rRNA from 1 species